rnacentral:tRNA from 1 species
AUUUUCUUAGUAUAAUUAAUACAAAUGGCUUCCAACCAUUUAAUCCCGGUUAAAUCCCAGGAGAAAAUA